ensembl:lncRNA
AUUUAUUUUGGGUAUACACAGUAGCAGGAUUGUAUCUUUGAGGGGCAGACACCUGCACCAUUUUUCUUUCCCACCAGCAAUGCCUGAAGGCUGCUAUUUCUCCACAUCCUCACCAACACCUGUUAUAAUGUCCUUUUGAUAAGAGCCAUUCUAGCACUUCUGGUUACAUCUUGCUCCAUUUAAAAAAGAAAAGUCUGCCUGUUUGUAAUCUCACAUCUAACCUUCCAUGUCUGUUUUCUUCUUUAUAUCAAGCCCACGGUUUGCUGUCCGGCACAUUACUCCGGAAUGAAUGAGUGAAUGGCCUCAAACGUCCCCAUGCUCCCUGCUUUCAGACCUGGAGGGCAGAAUGGAGGUCGGGUAUCCAGAGAGCUGUAAACCAGUGGCCUGCCUUCGAGGAAGAUAAAGCUGAGAGAACAGGCAGAUAGCAGGUGACCCAAAGAUCCCUCCAGACUUGGUCGGACCUGCUCUGUCCAAUUUGGCAGCCACUGGCCGCAGGUGGUCCCGGGGACCUGACCUGUGCCAUGUCCAAGGUGAGAUAUCCUUGUAACAGAUACACU